AUUGCAGUCAUUGCUUGAUAGAUUCCGCGGGCAGUCCGACAUUUUUGGAUGUUGAAAAUCGGGAAAUUAGCCAGUGACUAGCCAUGCAGUUUUCAAAACUAGUGGGAAUUAAUGCUGUUUUAUUAUUAUGGCUUGUUUAUGUCGACUGUCAAAGGGAAAUUACUUACAGGGUACCUGUUUAUGUUGAGAAUGCACGGGAUGGGAGAAUCCGAACAUAUGUUUAUGGCAUUUUAUUUGCCGUCAUUGCUGGUAAUGCAAUUUUAGGGAGACGUUCUACCGGGCAACCUUUCAACGUCGUGCAUGGUGGUGGUGGGGAUGACAAUGGUGCUCCUGUACCGACACCAU